rnacentral:lncRNA from 1 species
AUGACCCACCAAACACAAGCCUACCAUGUAGUCAAACCCAGCCCCUGACUACUAACAAGAGCUCUCUCGGCUCUCCUAAUAACAUCUGGCCUGGCCAUAUGAUUUCACUUUAACUCCAUUACUCUUUUAACGUUAGAUCUACUGACCAAUACACUAACUAUGUAUCAAUGAUGACAUGAUGUUAUCUGAGGAAGUACAUUUCAAAGCCACGAUACAACAAUUGUCCAAAAAGGUGUCCGAUAUGGAACAAUUCUAUUUAUUAUCUCAGAGGUACUUUUAUUUGCUGGUUUCUUCUGGGCAUUCUACCACUCUAGUCUAGCUCCAACUCCAGAGUUAGGGGGAUAUUGACCUCCAACAGGCAUUCUUCCCCUCAUUCUUUUAGAAGUACCCCUCCUGAAUACAUCUGUGUUACUUACUUCAGGAGUUUCAAUUACUUGAGCUCAUCACAGCCUGAUGGAAGGUAGUCAAAAGCAAAUAAUUCAAAAACUAGCUGUCACAAUUACCUUAGGCAUAUACUUCACCCUGCUACAAGUUUCAGAAUACUUCGAGGCCCCUUUUACUACCUCUACGUUUCUCACUAUCUGCCUCCUCCGUCAAUUAAAAUUCCAUUUUACAUCUAACUACCACUUUGGCUUUGAAGCCACCGCCUGAUAUUGACACUUCGUAGAUGUAGUGUGACUAUUGUUAUACGUCUCUAUCUACUGAUGAGGAUCC